AUUGAACGCUGGCGGCAGGCCUAACACAUGCAAGUCGAGCGGCAGCGGAAAGUAGCUUGCUACUUUGCCGGCGAGCGGCGGACGGGUGAGUAAUGUCUGGGAAACCGCCUGAUGGAGGGGGAUAACUACUGGAAACGGUAGCUAAUACCGCAUAACGUCGCAAGACCAAAGAGGGGGACCUUCGGGCCUCUUGCCAUCAGAUGUGCCCAGAUGGGAUUAGCUAGUAGGUGGGGUAAUGGCUCACCUAGGCGACGAUCCCUAGCUGGUCUGAGAGGAUGACCAGCCACACUGGAACUGAGACACGGUCCAGACUCCUACGGGAGGCAGCAGUGGGGAAUAUUGCACAAUGGGCGCAAGCCUGAUGCAGCCAUGCCGCGUGUAUGAAGAAGGCCUUCGGGUUGUAAAGUACUUUCAGCGGGGAGGAAGGUGUUGAGGUUAAUAACCUCAGCAAUUGACGUUACCCGCAGAAGAAGCACCGGCUAACUCCGCGCCAGCCGCCGCCGUAA
rnacentral:rRNA from 1 species